GAGAAUUUUCCAUCGAUCAAUUACAAUCAGUGUACCUUUCUCACACAAUGCAAGGACAGACUGACGGCUAGAUGGACCAGUAGCAUAACGGUACAAAACCACAGCUAAUGUAUUGAAUCUCUGGUAGUCCUAGUAAUCCUUCAUAUCUAAUUCGCACAGUGAGGUGAUCAUUUACUCCUUAUUAUGAUUGUACAGUAUGUGAUUCAUUUGCUAACUUCAGCCAGAGAAAAGUGAAUGCUUUAUUGUCCGGCGUCAUGAGACGACAUCCUUGGUUUCAGCCCCUAAUCACCUUCCAGUGCGCUGCUGGCUGUCUGAUCCUAUUUGCAUUAGAUGACAGAGGCUAUGAUAUGACAUCAUAGGUCACGCCUUGGUUAAUUUGACCGAGAUUAAAACAGAUUAAGUAUUAGUAAACACACACACACAGCCUACACAUACAUACACACACGCCUCCUGCACAAUUCAUUUUAUUUGCAUGACAAACAUUUACAUUAUUAAUGACACCAGAAUGAAGGUAACAAAAUAGGUUUUUGCUGCUGAGCAACGUACCCAUUUCGCAAUGCCUUUUGCUUUUGAGCAUUGACGUUGUGUGACCAAUAUUCUCCACUUUACAUUUAAACUUUAGACAAUACAAUCAUAUGCAGAAUGUAUUAGUUUUACUGUCACACCAUUAGUUUUACUGUCACAACAUUAGUUUUACUGUCACAACACAGCACUGGUGGGAGAUAUUUGAAGUAGCCAGUUGUUGCUGGAGAGAGCGAGGGAGAAGGAGCCAGUCAGAGCGCACAACGAGACUUGGCCGGUAGCAGUCAGUCAACGAGGGUAAUAUCCCGGUGCGAGCCAGCACACGGGCAUACAGAGCGAAAGGUGGGCACCCGUCCCGGACACUUUACAGUAGGCUGGCUACGUCCUGUUACAAAUUCAUAUAUGAAGAAAAGCAAUCAGGUGGUCCUGAAUGGAAAAUUGCAGAAUUUCUUUACAACUACAAAAAGGAGAAUAAAACGAGAGUACUGGUGAGACAGACGGUGGUGAGGCUGAGGCAGGCUGUGAUGCAUGGAGGAGGAGGCAGAGGAGACACAGAGAGAGAGGAAGCCAGCAGAGAGAAAGGUUCCAUGACUUUAUGGAGACAUUUCUUCCCAUUCUUUCCAAGAAGUUGGAUACACAACAUCAACACUCCCAGUAAACUGGACACAGGAAUAUUUGUUGUGCUACAAGAGCUACACCAGAGCACCCAGACAGACCAAGUCUCAAGGAACAGGUUACUGAUUACAUGAUUUUAUUAGUUUUAUUAUGGGUUUUCAUUGAGCUAUUACAAAUGAAGAUGAAAACCAUAGAGGGUUAGAGACGGUGAGUCCAUCCUGUCCUUUAGCUCUUUACCGUCUUACCUUCUCAGAAUGUCCACAGGACAAGACCUAUCUGCUUACAUCAUCAGAGCAUCUGUUUUCACAAAGGAGAUCUGAAGUCAUGGUUUUAUCUCUGUUUAUGCUGAUUGUUGGUUGGUUUGAUCUGUAUUGUCAUGUUAUUCCCAGGUUGGCAAGGACACAGGAGAGGCAUCAUGGGAGGAACAAAACAGGAUACGAAAUGUGAUGACUGACUGAGUGAAAGAAGAAAACGUCAGAGAAAGAAGGAAAGAGAGAAGGAUUGUGCGUUCUCUACUUUCUCAGAAGUGCAGCCCCUAAAUUCCUGUUACUAUGCCUGAGAGAGGGAGGGCAGCAGACCAGUCAAAAUGAACCCCUACGUCACCUCUCACUUUAGGAGGGAUCUCUUUCCCCACUUCCACUUGUUGUAGAGGCUUCUCUUCUCUUCACCCCUCUCUUACUGUUUGUGUGACAUGGGUACACCUGUUUCUGUGUAAACCUAGGACAACAGGUAACACCUGUCUCUGUAAACCUAGGACAGCAGGUAACACCUGUCUCUGUGUAAACCUAGGACAACAGGUAACACCUGUCGCUGUGUAAACCUAGGACAACAGGUAACACCUGUCUCUGUAAACCUAGGACAACAAGUAACACCUGUCUCUGUAAACCUAGGACAACGGGUAACACCUGUCUCUGUAAACCUAGGACAACAGGUAACACCUGUCUCUCUGUAAACCUAGGACAACAGGUAACACCUGUCUCUGUGUAAACCUAGGACAACAGGUAACACCUGUCUCUCUGCAAACUUAGGACAACAGGUAACACCUGUCUCUGUAAACCUAGGACAACAGGUAACACCUGUCUCUGUGUAAACCUAGGACAACAGGUAACACCUGUCUCUGUGUAAACCUAGGACAACAGGUAACAUCUGUCUCUGUGUAAACCUAGGACAACAGGUAACACCUGUCUCUGUAAACCUAGGACAACAGGUAACACCUGUCUCUGUGUAAACCUAGGACAGUAGGUAACAUCUGUCUCUGUGUGAACCUAGGACAGUAGGUAACAUCUGUCUCUGUGUGAACCUAGGACAGUAGGUAACAUCUGUCUCUGUGUGAACCUAGGACAGUAGGUAACAUCUGUCUCUGUGUGAACCUAGGACAGUAGGUAACAUCUGUCUCUGUGUGAACCUAGGGCAGUAGGUAACAGCUGUCUCUGUGUAAACCUAGGACAACGGGUAACACCUGUCUCUGUAAACCUAGGACAACAGGUAACACCUGUCUCUGUGUAAACCUAGGACAACAGGUAACACCUGUCUCUGUAAACCUAGGACAACAAGUAACACCUGUCUCUGUGUAAACCUAGGACAACAAGUAACACCUGUCUCUGUGUAAACCUAGGACAACAGGUAACACCUGUCUCUGUGUAAACCUAGGACAACAGGUAACAUCUGUCUCUGUGUAAACCUAGGACAACAGGUAACACCUGUCUCUGUAAACCUAGGACAACAGGUAACACCUGUCUCUGUGUAAACCUAGGACAGUAGGUAACAUCUGUCUCUGUGUGAACCUAGGACAGUAGGUAACAUCUGUCUCUGUGUGAACCUAGGACAGUAGGUAACAUCUGUCUCUGUGAACCUAGGACAGUAGGUAACAUCUGUCUCUGUGUGAACCUAGGACAGUUGGUAACAUCUGUCUCUGUGUGAACCUAGGGCAGUAGGUAACAGCUGUCUCUGUGUAAACCUAGGACAACGGGUAACACCUGUCUCUGUAAACCUAGGACAACAGGUAACAGCUGUCUCUGUGUAAACCAACGACUGUUGCCUUGGUAUUCUCCUGUGUUGUGCCUUUGUUGCUCCUAGUCAGGGUGUUACACUGUAAACUGUCAUUAGUGAUCUGGUCAAGGUGUUACACUGUAAACUGUCCUCAGGGAGCUGGUGAAGGGUUUGAACUGUUCCUCAGGAACCUAGUAACAUGUUUAGCUUGUUCACUGGGGGUCAAAGACUUGCCAGCGUUCGAAACCACAGUCCACAGGAAAUGUGUACGGAAGGUAAAGUCUAAUAUCGCAUCCAAACCUUUUUUAUGUCAUUUGGAUUUGCCCUGAAUCAAACCUUUUGAGUUUUCUUUGUUUUUAUCCCUAAGGGAUUUGGCAUGCAACAAACAAAAAAAUCUCUCUUCCCAAAAUAUUACCUUUGUUUGCCUCAGUGGGUCGUUGUUUUUACCCAGUUUUCCUUGCAUGUCCUCUGCAAAUUUUUUCCAAAGGAAUUAGACUGGAAGCUUUUCUGAAAUGGAUAAACAUGUGUGUUCUCUGUCAAGCAGGGGUGUUGAGUGUGACACUUGAACCAAGAGGAGAGAACUAAAGCCAACCCGUUUAGAAAAAACAAGCACAUGGCACCUCCCGUCCCAGGAUUGGACAGGAUUUGACCUCUGAAAUAACCUUUGAGCUCUGAGUUUUCAUAGAGGUCAUCCACAGGUGUAUGCCCUGUGUGCCUGUUACCCCUCCCCUCUUUCCCCACAACCGGCCAAUAGGAUUCUGCUCCUCCUACACACUCACUUUGACUCUAUAAUAGGUGUUGUAUAUUAUUAAUCCUGGUAUCAUAUGUAUAGGAUGGUACACAAAAAUAGGUACACAGAAAGUACACACAAUUGUACAUGCCUUGGCAUUCUAGUCAAGUAAUUUCAUUCUCUCUCCUUUUAUUUAUUGUCUUUCUCCCUCUCUUUCCCUCACUCCCUCUGUUAUAGAGAAUUCUCCCUCUCUUUCCCUCACUCCCUCUGUUAUAGAGAAUUCUCCCUCUCUUUCCCUCACUCCCUCUGUUAUAGAGAAUUCUCCCUCUCUUUCCCUCACUCCCUCUGUUAUAGAGAAUUCUCCCUCUCUUUCCCUCACUCCCUCUGUUAUAGAGAAUUCUCCCUCUCUUUCCCUCACUCCCUCUGUUAUAGAGAAUUCUCCCUCUCUUUCCCUCACUCCCUCUGUUAUAGAGAAUUCUCCCUCUCUUUCCCUCACUCCCUCUGUUAUAGAGAAUUCUCCCAUGCAGUUGUAGUGGAGAGUAAGUCUCCUUAUUGUUGUAUACAUUUUUACAACACUGAGUUAAUACGAUGUAGUUGAUCUGGUCAGUAGUCAGUCUGUGCAGUGUGUUCUGUACUGAAUUGACAAUGCCUUUAGGAGAAACACAGAGACUCUCAGGAAUAGGAUAUCCUGUUAAAAAAACAGUCACCUGAGAGAGCCACAAACAAAUUUCAAAUGUCUCUAAAAGUCUGCUUUUGUUGUGCCAAGAACUCACCACUGACAUUUGAGGACUUUUGUGGCUUGGAAAAGAUACUUGGAUUUGAGGGGAAACUGCUGGUCACAGUCUCCCACUUGUGAGAGACACUGAGUGAGUAUUAUUUACACAGUGCAUGGCUACUGUAGCUCAUAAAUGUAUUCCGAGGCCCUGUAGCAAAUUAAACAUAGGUAUAAAAGGGUGGAGGAACAUAUUCUGACUGAUAGGUCAGUGAAUGUAUUGGAAUUGUGUACCAUUAUCUGAAUCAAUAGUCUAAGGAGUUCCUCCUCUGUUUCAAUCUGCCUUGUGUAUUUUCCAUGACCAAACCACUGGGAAGUGAAGAUCAUGGAACGUAAGAAACAGCAUGCUUUUCUCUGCUGGUUGCAUGUUAGAUACGUGUUAGAAACAUAGACACCGUUUGACUGUACUGUGGAUCUACCCCUGGACUCUGUAUUGUCAUAUUGCACUUUAGUGAAUGUGGGGAGUAUAUAUCCUCCUUACUA
ensembl:lncRNA